rnacentral:rRNA from 1 species
UCUCCCUUGGAGAAUUGUAGUCUAUAGAAGUACCCUCUGCGACGGGCGGAGCUCAAGUCCCCUGGAAAGGGGCGUCAGAGAGGGUGAGAACCCCGUAAGCUCUUGCUUUGUCGCCUCACGAGGUGCUUUCGAAGAGUCGGGUUGCUUGGGAAUGCAGCCCAAAUUUGGUGGUAAAUCCCAUCUAAGGCUAAAUAUUGGCGAGAGACCGAUAGCGAACAAGUACCGUGAGGGAAAGAUGAAAAGAACUUUGAAAAGAGAGUUAAAAAGUGCUUGAAAUUGUUGAGGGGGAAGCGUUUGAAUGCUAGAGUGCGCCUAGGCUUAUGGGUUCUUAACGGAGCUCUGUAUGUGCUAGGUGCUGGCCAGCAUGGGUUGGGCGAGUGGGAUAACAACUGGGGUUGUUACCCGGUCUAUGCCACUUGCUUGACCAAGGCGUGAAGACUGCCCUUGUCCUUCGGGAACUGCAGUCUCAAGAUGCUGGCAAAAGGCUUUCAACCGGCCCGUCUUGAAACACGGACCAAGGAGUCUAACAUGUAUGCGAGUUGGUGGGUGGAAAACCCAUGAAGCGUAAGGAAACUGACUGGUGGGAUGGCCUGUGCCUGCACCAUCGACCGACCAUGCGUUUCUGCAAAAGGUUUGAGUGCGAGCAUACCUGUUGGGACCCGAAAGAUGGUGAACUAUGCCUGAGCAGGGUGAAGCCAGGUGAAAACCUGGUGGAGGCUCGUAGAUGUGCUGACGUGC